GCAUAUCAAUAAGCGGAGAAAGAACUACMAGGAUUCCCUAGWACKGCGAGUGAGAGGGAAGAGCCCAAGAUUGAAAGCUGGCGUCUUUGGCGUYUGCAUUGUAAUCUCAAGAAGUGUUUUCCGCUUUGGACCAUGCCUAAGUCCCUUGGAAAAGGGCAUCAUAGAGGGUGAUAAUCCCGUACAUGGCAKGGAGCGCCCGAAGCUUUGUGAUACACUUUCUAAGAGUCGAGUUGUUUGGGAAUGCAGCUCAAAAUGGGUGGUAAAUGCCAUCUAAGGYUAAAUAUUGGGGAGAGACCGAUAGCGAWCAAGUACAGUGAUGGAAAGAUGAAAAGAACUUUGAAAAGAGAGUUAAACAGUACGUGAAAUUGCCAAAAGGGAAGGGUAGGAGGUCAGAGAUGCGGUCUGGGAUUCAGCCUUGCUUUUGCUGGGUGUUUUUCUCAGAUUGCAGGCCAACGUCGGUUUUGGGCGCUGGAGAAGGGUGGAAGGAAUGUGGCACCUCUCGGGGUGUGUUAUAGCCUUCUACUGGAUACAGUGACCGAGACCGAGGACAGCADCGUACUCRCAAGARCGGGCCUUCRGGCACCUUUACKCUUASGGCGUUGGCAUAAUGGCCCUCUACCACCCGUCUUGAAACACGGACCAAGGAGUCUAACAUGUAUGCRAGUCUUUGGGUGGCAAACCCAUAGGCGCAAUGAAAGUGAAUUCAGGUGGGAUCCRYAAGGUGCRCCAUCGACCGAUCCUCACGUCUUUUUAAGUCRUGGAUUUGAGUAAGAGCAUACCUGUUGGGACCCGAAAGAUGGUGAACUAUGCCUGAAUAGGGUGAAGCCARAGGAAACUCUGGUGGAGGCUCGUAACGGAUCUGACCUGCCAAUCRAUCGUCAAAUUUGGGUAUAGGGGCGAAAGAMUAAUCGAACCAUCUAGUAGCUGGUCCUGCGAGUU
rnacentral:rRNA from 1 species